GCCGUAAUAAAAGGGCGCUGACGCAGCACAGACAAAGGUAAACGUUACUGCGCCUUCCUGGAUCACCACUCACUUGCAACACCAAGAAAGCCACGAUGAAGAAACUGGUGUUCAUAUUGGUCGUCGUUCUUCUUUGCGAAGUGGCGCUAACGGAAGCGGCACGUCGUACUCCCGCAGCAGGCGGCAGUGGGAAGAAACCGGUGGUUUGUAAUGGUAAAACAUGUAAACCGAAUGAGUACUGCGAGGAUUAUUUUAUAUCACCCCCGCAAUGUGCUGUGAGAGACCCGCGUGGCCGAUGACAAGUUCCUGCCCAUGAAGAAAAAUCGGGUGUGAAAGAAACCUGCAGCAUGGAAAAAACACUUGGCGAACAUGAACGACAUCAGCAGUUGACCGAUUGAAUAAAGUUACUCGUACUGAAAAAU